AGAGUUUGAUCCUGGCUCAGGGUGAACGCUGGCGGCGUGCUUAAGACAUGCAAGUCGAACGAGGGUCUUCGGACCCUAGUGGCGCACGGGUGAGUAACGCGUAACUGACCUACCCUCAAGUCGUGGAUAACGUGCCGAAAGGUGCGCUAAUACAUGAUGUGCUGAUUGCUCCUGUGCAAUCAGUAAAGGUUUACUGCUUGAGGAUGGGGUUGCGUUCCAUCAGCUAGUUGGCGGGGUAAAGGCCCACCAAGGCAACGACGGAUCGCCGGCCUGAGAGGGUGGCCGGCCACAGGGGCACUGAGACACGGGUCCCACUCCUACGGGAGGCAGCAGUUAGGAAUCUUCCACAAUGGGCGCAAGCCUGAUGGAGCGACGCCGCGUGAGGGAUGAAGGUUUUCGGAUCGUAAACCUCUGAAUCUGGGACGAAAGACGCGUAAGCGGGAUGACGGUACCAGAGUAAUAGCACCGGCUAACUCCGUGCCAGCAGCCGCGGUAAUACGGAGGGUGCAAGCGUUACCCGGAAUCACUGGGCGUAAAGGGCGUGUAGGCGGUUAUUUAAGUCUGGUUUUAAAGACCGGGGCUCAACCCCGGGGAUGGACUGGAGACUGGAUGACUAGACCUCUGGAGAGGCAAUCGGAAU
rnacentral:rRNA from 1 species